AUUGAACGCUGGCGGAAUGCUUUACACAUGCAAGUCGAACGGCAGCACGGACUUCGGUCUGGUGGCGAGUGGCGAACGGGUGAGUAAUGUAUCGGAACGUGCCCAGUCGUGGGGGAUAACGUAGUGAAAAUUACGCUAAUACCGCAUACGAUCUAUGGAUGAAAGCGGGGGAUCGCAAGACCUCGCGCGAUUGGAGCGGCCGAUAUCAGAUUAGGUAGUUGGUGGGGUAAAGGCCCACCAAGCCAACGAUCUGUAGCUGGUCUGAGAGGACGACCAGCCACACUGUAACUGAGACACGGUCCAGACUCCUACGGGAGGCAGCAGUGGGGAAUGUUGGACAAUGGGCGAAAGCCUGAUCCAGCCAUUCCGCGUGCAGGAUGAAGGCCCUCGGGUUGUAAACUGCUUUUGUACAGAACGAAAAGGUUUCUACUAAUACUAGGAGCUCAUGACGGUACUGUAAGAAUAAGCACCGGCUAACUACGUGCCAGCCGCCGCGGUAA
rnacentral:rRNA from 1 species